rnacentral:rRNA from 1 species
CACAAGCGGCGGAGCAUGCGGAUUAAUUCGAUGCAACGCGAAGAACCUUACCAAGGCUUGACAUAUACGAGAACGCCGCAGAAAUGUGGAACUCUUUGGACACUCGUAUACAGGUGGUGCAUGGUUGUCGUCAGCUCGUGUCGUGAGAUGUUGGGUUAAGUCCCGCAACGAGCGCAACCCUCGUCGUAUGUUGCCAGCACGUAAUGGUGGGAACUCAUAUGAGACUGCCGGGGUCAACUCGGAGGAAGGUGGGGAUGACGUCAAAUCAUCAUGCCCCUUAUGUCUUGGGCUUCACGCAUGCUACAAUGGCCGGUACAAAGGGCUGCGAUGUCGUAAGGCGGAGCGAAUCCCAAAAAGCCGGUCUCAGUUCGGAUUGAGGUCUGCAACUCGACCUCAUGAAGUCGGAGUCGCUAGUAAUCGCAGAUCAGCAACGCUGCGGUGAAUACGUUCCCGGGCCUU